rnacentral:misc_RNA from 1 species
GAUGAAGAACGCAGCGAAAUGCGAUAAGUAGUGUGAAUUGCAGAAUUCAGUGAAUCAUCGAAUCUUUGAACGCACAUUGCGCCCCUUGGUAUCCCGAGGGGCAUGCCUGUUCGAGCGCCAUUUCACCACUCAAGCCUGGCUUGGUGUUGGGCGACGUCCUCUUUGGGGACGCGCCUCGAAACGCUCGGCGGCGUGGCACCGGCUUUAAGCGUAGCAGAAUCUUUCGCUUUGGAAGUCGGGGCCCCGUCUGCCGGAAGACCUGCUCGCAAGGUUGACCUCGGAUCAGGCAGGGAUACCCGCUGAACUUAAGCAUAUCAAUAAGCGGAGGA